UACGUAGGUGGCAAGCGUUAUCCGGAUUUAUUGGGCGUAAAGGGUGCGCAGACGGUUUAUUAAGUCUAAGAUAAAAGCCCGGGGCUUAACUCCGGUUUGUUUUAGAAACUGAUAGACUCGAGUAUGGUAGAGGCAAAUGGAAUUCCUAGUGUAGCGGUGGAAUGCGUAGAUAUUGGGAGGAACACCAGUGGCGAAGGCGAUUUGCUGGGCCAUUACUGACGUUCAUGCACGAAAGCGUGGGGAGCAAAUA
rnacentral:rRNA from 1 species